UUCCGGUAGGGGGGCCCUGCCGUUGGAUCAGU
rnacentral:rRNA from 1 species